rnacentral:tRNA from 1 species
GCUGGCGUGGCGGAAUGGUAGACGCAACGGACUUAAAAUCCGUUGCUCAUUGCGAGCGUGCGGGUUCAAGUCCCGCUGUCGGUA